AAACAAAGCAGGGCAGGAGGGGAGGGAGAGCAAGAAAGAAGGACUUAAAGUGCCAUCUUAAAUAGCAUGCUAAUUGACCCUCAGAAACUAAAAUCACCUACAAGCACCCAGAGGGGAUCUGGGCUGACCUGUAGCUGACAAUAGAUGAUAUUGGCAAGUUUCCCACAGCCUUAAGUGUGGGUUUUGAACUGGGAUAAAUAUUCAACCUGGACUUGGAAUUGCACACUCAGUAACUGAAGCUGACACUUCCAACACUGUUAGAUGCCUGCAACAGAAAAUAAACAUUUUUUAAUAUGCAACCAUUUAUAUCCUCUGAACAAGAAACCCAUUUUACAACAAGUGGAGUACAACAAUGAGAUAACAAGCAUCAUGUACAAUGGACUUUUCAUAAACUUUACAACCCACAAAGUAGUGGACUGUUUGAAAAUUGGAGUGGGCUAUUGAAAGGUCUGCUUACUAAAUUCGGUGAUGCCCAUAAGGAUGAAGCUAUUUCCCGGCAGAAAUGCUUCCUUUGUUUGAAGCUGAAGAUCCAGAAUGGGUCCUGAUGAAUUUAGCAAGCAUUCAUUCUGGAAUCAUCUAUGUGAUGAUGUGUCUCAAUGAUUUUAAUAAUACUGUGUGGAGGAACGUUUGGGAUUCCUUUCAAGUUGAUUUGUCUUUUCUUUCCUUUUCCACAGGUUAUGCUAAUCACAUCAGACAGCUUUUUGGAGAUAACAUAUGGAAACUCUUACCUCUCAAACACCUACAAAGGAUUUUGUUCAACAACAGAGCCAUGGAUGAUUAUACGCAAAAUGAAGAAUGAUGAUGUUGAGGCAUGUGUGAUUAAGAAAGCUCCACCAAGGGACAGCAGGCUUUCUGUCUAAGAACAGAGUUAACCUGCAGCUUUCUGGUGGUAGUUCUAGGCUUAUUGCCGGGGAUGCCUGGAACCACGAUACUGACCUAUGACCAAAGAGGGAUGAAAUUUUCUUGCUGGCAAUUUAAAACACAGUGCCUGAUAUCCAAAACUCCUCUGGAAGCAUUAAAUACAUGUUUGCUACAUAUGUCAUUAAAAAUGUUUAGACA
rnacentral:lncRNA from 1 species